AGAGUUUGAUCAUGGCUCAGAUUGAACGCUGGCGGCAGGCCUAACACAUGCAAGUCGAACGGUAGCACAGAGAGCUUGCUCUCGGGUGACGAGUGGCGGACGGGUGAGUAAUGUCUGGGAAACUGCCUGAUGGAGGGGGAUAACUACUGGAAACGGUAGCUAAUACCGCAUAAUGUCGCAAGACCAAAGAGGGGGACCUUCGGGCCUCUUGCCAUCGGAUGUGCCCAGAUGGGAUUAGCUAGUAGGUGGGGUAACGGCUCACCUAGGCGACGAUCCCUAGCUGGUCUGAGAGGAUGACCAGCCACACUGGAACUGAGACACGGUCCAGACUCCUACGGGAGGCAGCAGUGGGGAAUAUUGCACAAUGGGCGCAAGCCUGAUGCAGCCAUGCCGCGUGUAUGAAGAAGGCCUUCGGGUUGUAAAGUACUUUCAGCGGGGAGGAAGGUGUUGUGGUUAAUAACCGCAGCAAUUGACGUUACCCGCAGAAGAAGCACCGGCUAACUCCGUGCCAGCAGCCGCGGUAAUACGGAGGGUGCAAGCGUUAAUCGGAAUUACUGGGCGUAAAGCGCACGCAGGCGGUCUGUCAAGUCGGAUGUGAAAUCCCCGGGCUCAACCUGGGAACUGCAUUCGAAACUGGCAGGCUAGAGUCUUGUAGAGGGGGGUAGAAUUCCAGGUGUAGCGGUGAAAUGCGUAGAGAUCUGGAGGAAUACCGGUGGCGAAGGCGGCCCCCUGGACAAAGACUGACGCUCAGGUGCGAAAGCGUGGGGAGCAAACAGGAUUAGAUACCCUGGUAGUCCACGCCGUAAACGAUGUCGAUUUGGAGGUUGUGCCCUUGAGGCGUGGCUUCCGGAGCUAACGCGUUAAAUCGACCGCCUGGGGAGUACGGCCGCAAGGUUAAAACUCAAAUGAAUUGACGGGGGCCCGCACAAGCGGUGGAGCAUGUGGUUUAAUUCGAUGCAACGCGAAGAACCUUACCUGGUCUUGACAUCCACAGAACUUUCCAGAGAUGGAUUGGUGCCUUCGGGAACUGUGAGACAGGUGCUGCAUGGCUGUCGUCAGCUCGUGUUGUGAAAUGUUGGGUUAAGUCCCGCAACGAGCGCAACCCUUAUCCUUUGUUGCCAGCGGUCCGGCCGGGAACUCAAAGGAGACUGCCAGUGAUAAACUGGAGGAAGGUGGGGAUGACGUCAAGUCAUCAUGGCCCUUACGACCAGGGCUACACACGUGCUACAAUGGCGCAUACAAAGAGAAGCGACCUCGCGAGAGCAAGCGGACCUCAUAAAGUGCGUCGUAGUCCGGAUUGGAGUCUGCAACUCGACUCCAUGAAGUCGGAAUCGCUAGUAAUCGUAGAUCAGAAUGCUACGGUGAAUACGUUCCCGGGCCUUGUACACACCGCCCGUCACACCAUGGGAGUGGGUUGCAAAAGAAGUAGGUAGCUUAACCUUCGGGAGGGCGCUUACCACUUUGUGAUUCAUGACUGGGGUGAAGUCGUAACAAGGUAACCGUAGGGGAACCUGCGGUUGGAUCACCUCCUUA
rnacentral:rRNA from 1 species